rnacentral:rRNA from 1 species
ACGGGGGGGGCAAGCGUUGUUCGGAAUUACUGGGCGUAAAGGGCUCGUAGGCGGCCAACUAAGUCAGACGUGAAAUCCCUCGGCUUAACCGGGGAACGACGCAUGAAACUGACAAGCUAGAGUACCAAAGAGGGGGGUGGAAUUCCCGGUGUAGCGGUGAAAUGCGUAGAUAUCGGGAGGGACACCUGUGGCGAAGGCGACCCCCUGGUUGGAUACUGACGCUGAGAUGCGAAAGCGUGGGGAGCAAACAGGA